ensembl:lncRNA
GAAACCGACCGACCGACGGGUGGGUCAUUUGGAAACCGACCGACCGACGGGUGGGUCAUUUGGAAACCGACCGACCGACGGGUGGGUCAUUUGGAAACCGACCACCGACGGGUGGGUCAUUUGGAAACCGACCGACCGACGGGUGGGUCAUUUAGAAACCGACCCACCGACAGACGGUGGGUCAUUUAGAAACCGCCCGACAGACGGUGGGUCAUUUAGAAACCGACAGACGGUGGGUCAUUUAGAAACCGACCGACAGACGGUGGGUCAUUUAGAAACCGACCGACCGACGGGUGGGUCAAUUAGAAACCGACCGAUGGGUGGGUCAUUUAGAAUAUGACCGACAGACGGUGGGUCAUUUAGAAACCGACCGACCGAUGGGUGGGUCAUUUAGAAACUGACUGACCGAUGGGUGGGUCAUUUAGAAACUGACCGACCGAUGGGUGGGUCAUUUAGAAACUGACCGACCGACGGGUGGGUCAUUUAGAAACUGACCGACCGACGGGUGGGUCAUUUGGAAACCGACCGACCGACGGACGGGUGGGUCAUUUAGAGACCGACCGACGGACGGGUGGGUCAUUUAGAAACCGACCGACAGAUGGGUGGGUCAUUUAGAAACCUGACUGACAGACGGUGGGUCAUUUAGAAACCGACCGACCGACGGGUGGGUCAAUUAGAAACUGACCGACCGAUGGGUGGGUCAUUUAGAAACUGACUGACCGACGGGUGGGUCAUUUAGAAACCGACCCACCGACGGGUGGGUCAUUUGGAAACCGACCCACCGACGGGUGGGUCAUUUAGAAACCGACCGACGGGUGGGUCAUUUGGAAACCGACCGACGGACGGACGGGUGGGUCAUUUGGAAACCGACCGACGGACGGACGGGUGGGUCAUUUGGAAACCGACCGACGGACGGGUGGGUCAUUUAGAAACCGACCGACAGACGGUGGGUCAUUUAGAAACCGACCGACGGGCUGGUCAUUUAGAAACCGACCGACCGACGGGUCGGUCAUUUAGAAACCGACUGAGCUAAUUAAACUGUUAAGCUAUUAAGCCGCUCCCCCUGUUCCCAGGAUGUACAUUGCUCCAGGAUGUUAAACUCUUCCUUUGUGACAUUUCUGAAGGCGACAGCUUUUGUUUGUUGUUUUCUUCUAAUCAGCCCUCGAAGUACCGCACAGCCCAGUUUGUAUUCUUAAUGGUGUUUUGCUUUGUUGGAGAUUUUCUCUUCGUCAUUCAAUACAUUAUUUUUCACAUCUGCAUGCCUCGGUAGUAUUUCCUGGGUAGUAUAUUAUUUUCUCCUCCCCAUUCAUCCAUAUUCAUGCUGCCGAAAAGAGCAAAAUAAAUGUUCCACUCACACGUUUUAGUUUUCGCAAAACAAAGUAUUGAUUUAGCUGUUGCUAUGACAACCAUCUGAAUUUGCUGUCGGUGAUGGUCGCACCCAUUCGCAAUUAUAUGGGACAGUUCAAUAUCGAAAAGGUCAGAGAGACAGACAACGAGGUGCAUACUAAUCUCUGCUGUUGGAAACCAAGUGUUAGUCUAAAAGAAAUGUGAGAUAAUGUCUAGAUGCUUUUCUAUAGUGGAGCUCAAGUUUAUACAUUGCCCGGCUGGGCUGAUGAGACAGUGGAUUGCAGCAGUCAGAUGGAACAGAGUAAAUAGGCAUUUUAACAUCUCAGAUUUAGCCGGUGGCAACUUGUGGAAUAGACACCGGCUGGAAUGCGGUUUCACCCAAUCAGCAUUCAGGAUUAGACUCACCAGUAGUAUUAAAAUAUAAUAUUAUCUCCAGUUCUCCUUCUCCUCGUUGCAAGCACCAUGCUCUACCAACUGAGCUCCAGAGGAACUCUAACCUGAUCUGUUUCCUCUCUCUCUCUCUCUCUCUCUCGCUCUCUCGCUCUCUCUCUCUCGCGCUCGCUCUCUCUCACUCUCUCUCUCUUGCGCGCUCUCGCUCUCUCUCUCUUUCUCUCCCUUUCUUUCUCUGAGUUUGUAUCUUAGUCACUUUAAAUCACUGUCACCACCUAAUGCCCCCCACUUCCCAACCGAUCCAGGACCAGCGUGUACCCCACAACAACGGUGUCACUACUGACGGCGGCAACAAUGAUGAUAACAACAUCAUCAAUAAUGGCAGCAACAACAUCAAUGGCAGCAGCAGCAUCAAUAAUGACAGCAACAACAACAGCAUCAAUAAUGACAACAACAGCAUCAAUACUGACAGCAACAACAACGGAUCAUAUUUACAUAAGUAUUCAGACCAUUUACUCAGUACUUUGUUGAAGCACCUUUGGCAACUAUUACAGCCUCAAUAUUUUCCUCAAUUAUCAGGUCUCUCCAGAGUUGUUUGGUCAGGUUCAAGUCCGGGCUCUGGCUGGACCACUCAAGGACAGUGAGACUUGUCCCGAAGCCACUCCUGCGUUGUCUUGGCUGUGUGCUUAGCAUUGUUGUCCUGUUGGAAGGUGAACCUUCUCCCCAGUCUGAGGUCCUGAGGGAUCUGAAGUAAGUUUUCAUCAAGGAUCUCUCUGUACUUUGCUCCUUUCAUCUUUGCCUCGGUCCUGACUAGUCUCCCAGUCACUACCUCUGAAAAACAUCCCCACAGCGUGAUGCUGCCUCCACGCUUCACAAUAGGGCUGGUCCCAGGUUUCCUAUAGAUGUUGACUCUUGGCAUUCAGACCAAAGAGUUCAAUGUUGGUUUCAUCAGACAAGAGAAACGUGGUCUGAGAGUUCUGUGGAGAGCUCUGUCAGAGCUCCAUCGGGUUUUUGGUCACCUCCCUGACCAAGGAGCUUCUCCACCGAUUGCUCAGUUUGGCCGGGCGGCCAGAUCUAGGAAGAGUCUUGGUGGUACAAAACUGUGUUCUUGGCAUCCUUCGAUGCUGCAGAAAUGUUUUGGUACCUUCCCCAGAUCUGUGCCUCGACACAAUCCUGUCUCGGAGCUCUACGGACAAUUCCUUCGACCUCAUGGCUUGGUUUUUGCUCUAACAUGCACUGUCAACUGUGGGACCUUAUAUAGACUGGUGUCUGGUAAUUUACCACAGAUGGACUCCAAGUUGUAGAAACAUCUCAAGGAUGAUCAAUGGAAACAGGAUGCACCUGAGGUCAAUAUCAAGUCUCAUAGGAAAGGGUCUGAAUACUUAUGUGAAUAAGGUCUUUCAGUUAUAUAUAUAUAUAUAUAUAUACACACACACACACACACACACAGUGGGGCAAAAAAGUAUUUAGUCAGCCACCAAUUGUGCAAGUUCUCUCACUUAAAAAGAGAGUGGAGGACAGAGGAGCCUCUUAAAGAAGAAGUUACAGGUCUGUGAGAGCCAGAAAUCUUGCUUGUUUGUAGGUGACCAAAUACUUAUUUUCCACCAUAAUUUGCAAAUAAAUUCAUUAAAAAUCCUACAAUGUAAUUUUCUGGAUUUUUUUUCCCUCAUUUUGUCUGUCAUAGUUGAAGUGUACCUAUGAUGAAAAUUACAGGCCUCUCUCAUCUUUCUUGUUUACACUUCAUCAUUACGGGGUAUUUGUGUGUAGAUUGCUGAGGAUAUAUAUAUUUUUAAAUCCAUUUUAUAAUGAGGCCGUUAUGUAACAAAAUGUGGAAAAAGUCAAGGGGUCUGAAUACUUCCCGAACAAGGGGGUGUCUGUGUGUCUGUGUCAUCUGUGUGUGUGUGUGUGUGUGUACAUAUAUGAUUACCUUAAGACUCUUGGUGGGUGGAAGGAAGAUCGUUUGUUAUAGGAGGAUGGGUGUUGUAGAAACAGCCCACAUUUCAAACCAGGGACGGGUUUGGAUACAGAAGGACAGGAUUUUAACUUUUUCAUUUGAAACACAAAAAUGUUGUACUAUUUAUUAAAAAUAAAAUUACGUCAGGAAAUGUUUGGUUUUUGUUCAAAAUGUAAAUGUCAACUUUAGGUCAAUUGGCAUUUCUUAUUUUGCUACACUGGUGUGUGGGUUGUUUGUAUGUGUAGCACAAUAUAUUGCUUUCUGCAUGGGAUACUAUUGUGAGAGAAUGACUACACUCCUGCCCAUGCUUUAAAUGUCAAUAGUGACCUUAAGAACAGUGUAGUUUUUUUAUUGUUGGAGACAGGAAUCUGAUCACCAACCCCCCCUCUGUACAUGAUGAAGGGGAUUGGAUAAAGUUGGGGUCAAUUCGAAUUGAAGGCAGGAAGAGAUUUGAUUUAUUUUAUUUUUUUAAUUUAAGAAAUCUUUUGAAAUUAUCAGCUUCUACUUUUCAGUUCAUUCAAAAAUAUGUACCUUUUAUUUUUUUUUAUUUUUUAGGAAUUUCAGUUUCUUCCAUCCUAUGGAAUUGAGCCCUGCUCUAGAUACUGUUCUAGGAUCAGUUGUGUAUUUCUCCCAUCCAUGGUUAAGGCUAAGCUUUGCAGAGAAUAAGCUGAUCCUAGCUCUGGGCAACAUGGGAAACUAGUUUCACUUGGAGCUUCUAGAGGUCGAUCAGGACAAGGUCAUCGGGUCAGGGCUCAAAGGUCAGACAGGCCCUGGUUGUAUGUACACUGCCCAGCGACCUUUCACCUCUCCUCCAGAGACUAGGUGUGCUUCCCAAAUGGCACCAUAUUCCCUAUAUAGUGCACUAGCCCACAUAGGGCUCUGGUCUAAAGUAGUGCACUAUAAAUAGGAAAUAGGGUGCCAUAGGGCUCUGGUCUAAAGUAUUUUUAUCAGCCCUCUGAUUACAAUUGAGAGCAAAACGUGCUGCUCUGUUGUCAGCCAGCUGCAGCUUAACUAGGUGUUUCCUUGCAGCACUGGACCACAAGACUGGUCAAUAAUCAAGAUGAGAUAAAUCUAGAGCCUGCAGGACUUGCUUUGAGGAGUGUGGUGUAGAAAAAAGCAGAGCAUCUCUUUAUUACGUCUACCUCUCCCCGUCUUUGAAACCAUUGAAUCUACAGUGGCAUGUGAAAGUAUUCACCCCCCUUGGUAUUUUUCCUAUUUUGUUGCCUUACAACCUGAAAUUAAAAUAUAUUUUGGGGGGGGUUUGUAUCAUUUGAUUUACACUUUGAAGAUGCAAAAUAUGUUUUAUAAUGAAACAAACAAAAAACAUUACAAAAACAGAACCCCACCUCCCCCCCAAAAGUCAAUACUUUGUAGAGCCACCUUUUGCAGAAAUUACAGCUGCAAGUGUCUUGGGGUAUGUGUCCAUCUAGCCAAUGGGAUUAGGAUAUACCUCUGUGCAACUGGUGAUUGAAAAUAGGCACCUGGUAACCUAAAAAUUAAAUGGUAUUUUAGCCCAUUCUUCAAGGCAAAACUGCUCCAGCUCCUUCAAGUUGGAUGGGUUCCGCUGGUGUACAGCAAUCUUUAAGUCAUACCACAGAUUCUCAAUUGGAUUGAGGUCUGGGCUUUGACGAGACAUUGAAAUGUUUCCCCUUAAACCACUCAAGUGUUGCUUUAGCAGGAUGCUUAGGGUCAUUGUCCUGCUGGAAGGUGAACCUUCAUCCCAGUCUCAAAUCUCUGGAAGACUGAAACAGGUUUUCCCAAGAAUUUCCCUGUAUGCAUCAUGUUGUGGGGGUGCUUUGCUGCAGGAGGGACUGGUGCACUUCAUAAAAUAGAUGGCGUCAUGAGGGAGGAAAAUGAUGUGGAUAUAUUGACGCAACAUCUCAAGACAUCAGUCAGGAAGUUAAAGCUUGGUCGCAAAUGAGUCUUCCAAAUGGACAAUGUCCCCAAGCAUACUUCCAAAGUUGUGGCAAAAUGGCUUAAGGACAAAGUCAAGGUAUUGGAGUGGCCAUCACAAAGCCCUGACCUCAAUCCUAUAGAACAUUUGUGGGCAGAACUGAUAAACCGUGUGCGAGCAAGGAGGCCUACAAACCUGACUCCGUUACACCAGUUCUGUCAGGAGGAAUGGGCCAGAAUUCACCCAACUUAUUGUGGGAAGCUUGUGGAAGGCUACCCGAAACGUUUGACCCAAGUUAAACAAUUUAAAGGCAAUGCUACCAAAUACUAAUUGAGUAUAUGUAAACUUCUGACCCACUGGGAAUGUGAUGAAAGAAAUAAAAGCUGAAAUAAAUCAUUUGACUAUUAUUCUGACAUUUCACAUUCUUCAAAUAAAGUGGUGAUCCUAACUGACCUAAAACCAGUGAAUUUAGAAACAAGAAUUUCCCUGUAUGUCGCAC